AAGCCACCCCAGUUGUGCAGAAAGAUGGGGGCACAGUGGUUUCUACAGUUAAAGAGGUGUGGUGGCUCCAGCUCGCCAGAAGCUGCACAUUCUGCCUGGAAUCUUCCCCCCCCAUCAAUCCCAGAACUGAACUUUCUCCUGCUUGGCAUGAAACUCCUGAAAGGAUGGAAUUGCCUGCGUUUUCUGAGAGACUUCUUCCAGGAAGGCUCAAGCAGCAGCUUCCAGGGAGGCCUUGCUAUUAAAUAAGAGAAAGGCAGCCCGUGAGUACAAUUCCUACGCCUGGUCCACAGACCCAGCAGAAUGAGGCGAUCAAGUGGCUGCCUGAUGCACUUAAGACUCAUGGCUGCAAAUGGGAUCGCUCCUGGCCACUUCCAAGAAUCCUAAACUAACUGUAUCCAUGUACUUUCUACGUACGUGAAUGAUAUGCCAGCAAACAGCUACCCCUAGUGAUCUGAGUUCCUCAGACAGUGGUGCAGAAUAAGCUACCGUAUACAUCAUGGAGACUACAACUUAAAGCGGUUUUGGAAGGAUCAGAUAGAUGUGUGUUAGUCAAUGAAUGAAGUCAAGAGCUGUGAUUGGCAAGUGGUAGAGAACAACUUCAUACAAUCGCAAAAGGAAGACUCCAAAAUAGCUUCAGAAUGACUCAGAAAGUUACUUCUCCAGCCACUGGAGAAGGAAUUUCCACAUUCAUUUUGAAGCCAGUUUGGGAUUUAUCUUGGCAUAUGCGUCAUUCUAGAAUUCUUUCUAGAUUUAGAUAAUAGAGAACGAUUGCCUGCUUCAUUUUGAAGGGACUUCCUGCUUCAUUUUUAAGCGAUGUUUUUUUUCCAUUUUCCUGGCUAUAGAGAAGUGAUUGUUGCCCAGAAGAAAAUAACAGAAAAUCCCAGUAUUUUAGUGUAGCUGUGACUGGGGAGUAGCAUGUCCACUCAAAAAGGAAAAGGUAGCAGUGAAGAGAGAAGUUAAUUCUCUUUCUAAGGUUUAAUUUUGUGCAAAAAAAAUAUGCAUUUUUCAACAUUUCUUUUUACACUGUAAACAAAUCACCCUGAUAAUACAAAUGUGCACCGUUAGUAUAUCCAGAUUGUCUAUAUGUGUAUUUGCAAUAUGGUGGUUGAGAAUGUGUGGGUUACAUCAGCCUUGAAAAGUAGCUUCAUGUUGCUAUGUUACUAUUGGGGUGGAGUGCUUAGAGAGGACAGUGGACUGUAUUCAAUGUAAGCACUAAGGUUAAAGUUCUGUCAGUGCAAGGCUUUCACGUUGUGUGACAGAACAUUCUCCCCUGCUAAAUCUGUUCUCGGUGUUCCUCCAGCCCCCACAAGCAGAUGGGGACAGUGUGGAGUGCACAUGGGGUGAGGAGGGGGGGAAAUGCCCUUGUGCUAGCACUAAUUCUUGCAAAACGUUAAUUGAAUACCAUGCAGUGUAUAGUGAUUUUGCAAUGUGCUUCAGUUUUGUUAUCCAGUCUCUUGAUGGAAUGUAUGACUCUCCAAAUGUCAUUGGGCUCCAAUUGCCACCAGCCCUGUCUAGCAUGGCUGGUGAUCAGGGAUGAUGGGAUUAGCAAUCAACAACCUCUGGAGGGCAAGAUAU